CUCCACCAGUUGCAAGUGAGAUUACGGCGGCGGCGGCAGCAGUGGUGGAUGAUAUUGAGUGCGGCGGCCAAUCGGAAGAAAGUGAACAUGGUCGACAACAAGUACCGGAGAUGAGGAGAUCGAGUUCGUUGAAUUUUGAGGGGGUGCCGGCGAGGAUGAUGAAGAGAUCAGUUUCGACGGGGAGAUUUGUGUUGAUGUCGAGAGAUGGUAAUUCUUCUUCCAAUACCAUUCCAGUUUGAAUUUGAUCCGCCGCCGCCAUAGGCGCUUUUUUUUUUGUGUUGUUUUUUUCUCUUCUCUGUUGUAUUUUGUUUUCAUUCAUUAAUCAUUUUAUACAAACUUUAGUGUUAGAAAUGUGAAAUGAUGGUAUAUAUGAUUUACAGGGGAAACGUGAUGGAUUGAUACUUGGGAUGUUGUACAUUUUACACUGCUUUUCGUUUCUGUGUUAUGUAUAAAUCAAUGUAUGUCAUUCAUACAAAUUUCAUACACAAAUAAAUCAAUGUUCAUUCCAUUCUUCAUCAUAUUUACUCAUAUUUUUGAUGAGUUUUUAUGAGCGUUACGAUAAUUUUAAAAUAGAAAUUUUAUAUG
rnacentral:lncRNA from 1 species